GCAUAUCAAUAAGCGGAGGAAAAGAAACCAACAGGGAUUGCCCCAGUAACGGCGAGUGAAGCGGCAACAGCUCAAAUUUGAAAUCUGGCUCUCGGGCCCGAGUUGUAAUUUGUAGAGGAUGCUUUUGGUGAGGUGCCUUCCGAGUUCCCUGGAACGGGACGCCAUAGAGGGUGAGAGCCCCGUCUGGUUGGACACCGAUCCUCUGUAAAGCUCCUUCGACGAGUCGAGUAGUUUGGGAAUGCUGCUCUAAAUGGGAGGUAUAUGUCUUCUAAAGCUAAAUACCGGCCAGAGACCGAUAGCGAACAAGUACCGUGAGGGAAAGAUGAAAAGAACUUUGAAAAGAGAGUUAAACAGUACGUGAAAUUGUUGAAAGGGAAACGAUUGAAGUCAGUCGUACCAGCGGGAAAUCAACCUUUCGAGUGGGAUCUUGGAGCUUUAAAGAGUUUCAAAGCCUUUGGGUUUCAAGAUUUCUACUCUUUUGGUGUACUUUCUCGUAGGUAGGUCAACAUCGAUUUUGAACAUCAUAAAAAGAUCGGAGGAAUGUAGCUUCGAUCUCGUAUUGAAGUGUUAUAGCCUUUGGUAAAUGUGAUGCUCAAGAUCGAGGAUUGCAACGAAUAUCCUUUUGGGCUAUUCGUCUGAUCUCUGAUACGUGGCCUUGGUAUCGAAAGCGUGCUUACGGUAUUAAGGUAUUACGGUCAAAAGGUUAGAACGGAUUACAUUCGUUAAGGAUGUUGACGUA
rnacentral:rRNA from 1 species